GGGAUGAGGGGUGGAGAAUACUUGCCAUGUGGAUUGUUUGUGAAAUUUUUUUGGCUUACUGGUGGUUUUGUGGUGCUGGCGGUGACAUGGGUGCUGACAUGGGUGAUGAUGGGCCUGCUCCUAGCGGUGGCAGCGGUGCUGGUCCUAAGAUCGAGGAGGUCGACUAAGCUGUUUUCGCUCCUCAAUCCUCAUGUUUUUGGUUUCGUCAGUUAGUUUUAUCCCCAAAAACUCCAUUUUAAGUUUUAUCCCCGAAAACUCCAUUUUAUUAUUCCUGCAUUGUAGUUUUUAGUUAAUGGUGAUACUUUUUGCGUAUUUUGGCUUGAACUUGUUUAUCAAGUAUACUAUCAUUUUUCGAAUUCAUAAUUUCAGAUUUUGCUAAAAAGCUCGGCUGUACCGUUUGAUCUAUCUAUGCCUUAAAUAUUC
rnacentral:misc_RNA from 1 species